UACGGGGGGGGGCAAGCGUUGUUCGGAAUUACUGGGCGUAAAGGGCGUCGUAGGCGGCCAACUAAGUCAGACGUGAAAUCCCCCGGCUUAACCGGGGGAACUCGCAUCUGAAUACUGGAUGGCUUGAGUUCGGGAGAGGUGAGUGGAACUGCGAGUGUAGAGGUGAAAUUCGUAGAUAUUCGCAAGAACACCAGUGGCGAAGGCGGCUCACUGGCCCGGAUACUGACGCUGAGGUGCGAAAGCGUGGGGAGCAAACAGG
rnacentral:rRNA from 1 species